GAUGAACGCUAGCGGGAGGCUUAAUACAUGCAAGUCGAGGGGUAACAUUAGUGCUUGCACUAGAUGACGACCGGCGCACGGGUGAGUAACGCGUACACGAUCUACCUUUAAGUGGGGGAUAGCCUUUGGAAACGAAGAUUAAUACCCCAUAGUAUUGGGACUAGUAAAGGGUCCUAAUUAAAGCUCCGGCGCUUAAAGAUGAGUGUGCGUCCCAUUAGUUAGUUGGUAAGGUAACGGCUUACCAAGACGAUGAUGGGUAGGGGGCGUGAGAGCGUGACCCCCCACACGGGUACUGAGACACGGACCCGACUCCUACGGGAGGCAGCAGUAAGGAAUAUUGGACAAUGGGGGCAACCCUGAUCCAGCCAUCCCGCGUGAAGGAUGACUACCCUAUGGGUUGUAAACUUCUUUUAGAUAGGAAGAAACUCUAAUAUUUAUAUUAGACUGACGGUACUAUCAGAAUAAGCACCGGCUAACUCCG
rnacentral:rRNA from 1 species